ensembl:miRNA MIR10382 microRNA mir-10382
AGGUGAGUAGGACGGAGGUCAGGGCAAGGGGUAGAGGCUGAACCUCUGACCCUGGCCCCUGACCCUACUCGCCU